AGCUCCAAUAGCGUAUAUUAAAGUUGUUGCAGUUAAAAAGCUCGUAGUUGAAUUUCUGGCCAGCGCUGUUCUCGGCUCUCUGAGUCGGUUCAGUGUUUGGUCAUCCGUAUGGGAAGCUAGCUCGGCCUUCACUGGUCGGCUAGUGGAUCAUACACUUUACUUUGAAAAAAUUAGAGUGUUUCAGGCAGGCAAUUGCUUGGAUACUUCAGCAUGGAAUAAUGGAAUAGGACUUUGACCUAUUUGUUGGUUUCUUCGAGGUCAAGGUAAUGAUUAAUAGGGACAGUUGGGGGCAUUCAUAUUUAAUUGUCAGAGGUGAAAUUCUUGGAUUUAUUAAAGAUGAACUUAUGCGAAAGCAUUUGCCAAGGAUGUUUUCA
rnacentral:rRNA from 1 species